UAAUGAAGGAGGCAUGGUUGUGUGCACGGAAAUUGAUCUAUUGGGACAACAUGUCUGCUCUCUCUGAUAACUCUUGAUUUGAGGGCCUGGUUACUACCCACAUUU
rfam:Lupinus angustifolius cultivar Tanjil chromosome LG04, whole genome shotgun sequence.